GGCUCUGUGGCGCAACGGUAGUGCAUCUGACUCCAGAUCAGAAUGUUAUGUGUUCAAAUCACAUUAGGGUCA